UUUUGUACAGAAACAAAUGUAGGUGAGACAUGUUUUUUUGUUGUUGAUGAUUUUUGCAUAAAAGUUUGGCAAAGGCAAAACGUCUUUUUUUUGCGACAGCUUGACAAUAAAUUGUUAAAUAUGCUGCUGCACAAUGCUAAUCAUGUAUUGCCAUUUUUUUAACAGUCUCAAAUACGAAGAAAAAAUAGUUUUUUUUUCUUCUUUUCUGAUAAAAAAAUGUUCACAAAACCUGGAUACAUUUUUGGGGGAUAUUUGCAUAUAUGUUUCGCAAAGACGGGGAAAUUGUGAAUGGCAAUGGUAAUGGUCUCUUCUUUUGCAACUACUUUAUGGCAAAUUAUUUAAAAUAUUUUCCAGUGCUAAACAUGUCAAUGUUUUUAAAAUCUAAAAGGUCCAAAAAAUUUUUCAGUUGUUCAGAACAGGAACAAAAAACAGCUUCAAAUGUGGCUUUCCAUGUUUUUUUUGCCGAUAUUUGAAUUGUAUAAGUAGCAAAAACAUGAAAUUUGUGCUAACCAGCAUUUUUUCCACCAGUACUUUGACUAAUGAUUUUUGAAAUCAGAAUUUUUUUUUUUUUUGCAUUGAGGUUGGCAAUGAUGGAAAAAAAGAAAAUUUGAUAAAGCAAUCGUAAUCGUCCCUUUUUCUGCUACCAUUUUAAGUUGCUCUCAAUUUUGCUACCCACUGCUAGGCAUGUACUGUAUCUUGUUUUUUUUAAUGUAUUAUUUUAGUGAAAAUUUUUUGGAU